AUUGAACGCUGGCGGCAGGCCUAACACAUGCAAGUCGAGCGGAUGAGUGGAGCUUGCUCCCUGAUUCAGCGGCGGACGGGUGAGUAAUACCUAGGAAUCUGCCUGGUAGUGGGGGACAACGUUUCGAAAGGAACGCUAAUACCGCAUACGUCCUACGGGAGAAAGUGGGGGAUCUUCGGACCUCACGCUAUCAGAUGAGCCUAGGUCGGAUUAGCUAGUUGGUGAGGUAAAGGCUCACCAAGGCGACGAUCCGUAACUGGUCUGAGAGGAUGAUCAGUCACACUGGAACUGAGACACGGUCCAGACUCCUACGGGAGGCAGCAGUGGGGAAUAUUGGACAAUGGGCGAAAGCCUGAUCCAGCCAUGCCGCGUGUGUGAAGAAGGUCUUCGGAUUGUAAAGCACUUUAAGUUGGGAGGAAGGGCAGUAAGUUAAUACCUUGCUGUUUUGACGUUACCAACAGAAUAAGCACCGGCUAACUUCGUG
rnacentral:rRNA from 1 species